ensembl:lncRNA
ACCUCCUACUAUGCUGCUAGGACUAGGACUGCAGCUUCUCAAAUGUUUCCGCCAUUUGCAACAUCUUUCCUGGUUGGUCCAGGAAAGGCAGGCUUGAUUGACUGUCCUAAUCUCCAAGUGGGUCAUCCCACUUGCUCUUCUAGAACCUGGCUACUCUAAAGCUUUUGGAGGAGUCAGCGCCCUGCCACAAAAUUGAACAGUAGGGAGAUACUGCCUUCCUCCUAGCAAAUCUUCAAAAGAAAUGUUUGAAUGAUCCUCACUGUUGGAAAGAGUUUGGGGGAAAUGGGCAUUCUCAUGUAUGCUGGUAAAUGGACCUAACUACCUGGAGAACAGCCUGACCACAUGGAGACAGCCAAAGAGACAUGAAUGCCAGACGGUGUAGAUCCAAAGGACCUCUCAUCUAUGGCUGGUGGAAGUGUAAAUUGAGUCCCUAGAGAAAUACUCGCCUCGAACAGCUGAAGAAUUCUGGAUUAUCCGUCAAGAUAUAGCUCAAACAUCAGCUUCUGUGGAAAUGCUUCCCCCACUUUGCCAAGCAACAAGCCCAGCUUCACCUCUUCGGUUCCUGAUUAAUAAAUGAUUUGUGUACCUAUUGCACUGCCUCUCUGGCUGCCAGAGCUAAGCUCAGCGGUCUGUGCACCUUUGGGUUUCCCCUCUUCCUAUCCCUCUCCCCAUCAUCUCUUGCCCAUGUGCCUUGCCCUUAUGACUGCCGUGUGGUCAGUGCUAAUUAAAUGUUAAUUUUGGAACACAGAGCUAUAGGGAUUUUGGGUAUGACCUACUAGAAAUCCCAGAGCUUAGAAUCAAACCCCUCAGUGGAUCUCUGACACUUGAAAAAACUAAGAUAACUUUCUCCAGAAAAAAGCACCUGCAAAAGAAAAUUCCCAGUUGCAUAGCACUAUACACACACUAGCA